rnacentral:rRNA from 1 species
UACGUAGGUGGCGAACGUUAUUCGGAUUUACUGGGCGUAAAGCGGGUGUAGACGGCUAUUUAAGUCGAAUGUGAAAUCUCCUGACUUAAUCAGGAGAAGUCGUUCGAUACUGAGUGGCUUGAGGGCAGCAGAGGAAGACGGAAUUCCCGGUGUAGCGGUGAAAUGCGUAGAUAUCGGGAGGAAUACCAGUGGCGAAGGCGGUCUUCUAGGCUGUUCCUGACGUUGAGGCCCAAAAGCGUGGGGAGCAAAACGG